rnacentral:lncRNA from 1 species
GUUUACAAUUGGGUGAGCAUGAUUUGAAACGAAGAACGACAUAUAUUAAGAAAGAGGGACUGAAAGCGCUGUGUGCUGAGGCUUUUACUUCAUUUGGAAGUACAGAGAUUCACAUGCCCAUGACUAUGUUGAAGGCAGGCACGGUCUGGGCACGGAGGAUCCACCAGAAGAUUGUUACCAAUGGCCAUAAAAAGAGAACUGGAGAGGAAGGCCUUGGCCUGUUGACUCUUCUAAGAGAAUCCUGGUGUGGAUGGUUUUCCUGAGGCAAACGAGGCUGUUCUCACAGGAGGAGAAGCUCGGGCCUUGCUGUCGCUGAAAAUGGCUGCUGUUUUUGUCCGAGGUGCUCUAACCUUCACCACGAGCAUCACUUUGUGGCCUCAGGGCGGAUCCUUCACGCUUGGUGGCACAGACCCUUCAUCACCAGCUUAGAUUUUCUGGCUUCCACCAUUAGCCUUUGGGCUUUCCAGGUACAGAUCCUCAAUACGGACAUGCUUGAGACGUGGUGUGGGCUCUAGGCUCCUGACUGGACUCACAGAGGACAUCGCCUUGGACUCUAAGCCUUUAGCUGGACUUGUGUGGGACACUGCUGGGAUCCAGGCCCUCAGCUGGAUUCCUUGGGCCCUUGGUGUGUGGUUAGUCUCUUUCAUGCCUUUGCGUUUGACUCCUGGGGUAAUUAUCAUAAAAUAAUCUUAUAAACC